UACGUAGGGGGCAAGCGUUGUCCGGAAUCAUUGGGCGUAAAGCGCGUGUAGGCGGUUCGAUAAGUCUGCUGUGAAAGUCCAGGGCUCAACCCUGGAAAGCCGGUGGAUACUGUCGGACUAGAGUACGGAAGAGGCGAGUGGAAUUCCCGGUGUAGCGGUGAAAUGCGCAGAUAUCGGGAGGAACACCAAUUGCGAAGGCAGCUCGCUGGGACGGUACUGACGCUGAGGAGCGAAAGGAUGGGGAGCGAACAGG
rnacentral:rRNA from 1 species